rnacentral:lncRNA from 1 species
AAUUUAGCAUAUUCAUCUUCCUAAAGCAAACUUUGAUUCAUAUCCUCAUUGUCCAAACUUUGAUUCAUUUAUGUUCUCUUAUCUGGAAAAUGGCUGAUGUUUUACUUGGAACUGUGAUUCAAAACCUCGGGUCGUUUGUUCGAGAGGAGCUUUCGACCUUUUUGGGUGUUGAAGAAUUGACACAAAAGCUAUGUGGAAAUCUCACCGCAAUUCAGGCUGUCCUCCAAGAUGCUGAAGAGAAGCAAAUAACGAGCCGUGUUGUGAAAGAUUGGCUGCAGAAGCUGACUGAUGUUGCUUAUGUUCUUGAUGAUAUAUUGGAUGAUUGUACAAUAAAAUCAAAAGCACAUGGAGACAACAAGUGGAUCACCAGUUUCCAUCCUAAGAUGAUUUUGGCUCGUAGGGAUAUUGGAAAGAGGAUGAAGGAGGUUGCUAAAAAGAUUGAUGUUAUUGCUGAAGAAAGGAUCAAAUUAGGAUUACAAGUGGUAGUCAUGGAGGAUCGCCAACGAGGAGUUGAUGAAAAUCGCCAAACUACUUCUGUCGUCACUGAACCAAAAGUUUAUGGAAGAGAUCGUGAUAGAGAGAAAGUUUUUGAGUUUCUGCUAAGUCAUGCUCUUGACAGUGAAGAACUCUCUUUCUAUUCCAUUGUUGGUGUUGGUGGGCAAGGAAAAACAACACUUGCUUGAAAUGGUGUGGAAACAUGUUACUGAGAUCGUGUUUUACCUUUUGUGAGGUUUUUCCUAAGGAUUUUGAAAUGGUGAAGGAAGAACUGAUCCAUCUUUGGUUGACUAAUGGAUUCAUCUCUUCCAUUGGAAAUUUAGAGGUGGAGCAUGUUGGUCAUGAAGUGUGGAAUGAAUUAUAUGAGAGAUCAUUUUUUCAAGAAGUCAAAAUUGAUAAUGUUGAUAUUGACUUCAAAUUACUAAUUCUGUAAAAGCCAAAAUCGUGGAAUGUUUUUGCCGAAGGCAAAUCGCGUUCAUAUGUUAAUUGAAAGGUAAUUGAAGCAUGAAAUUAAAUUGGCCUUUCACUUUUUCCUAGGGUUAUGAAGUGCCGAAGUUCCAUUAGGUUAGCCCAUCCAUGAGUCUUGUUAAAUAAAAACUUGAUAAAAAAAACUCUAUAUACAAAAUAAGAAAGGCAAAUUCUAUGGUACAUCCAAUAAAUUUGGGUGUAUCGGUACACCAAGUCAUAAAAUUAAUAAUAAAUGAGUUGUUUUUUUUGAUGAAAAAUAAUUAUUUUCUAUCAUUGACAACUAAGAUAAUUAAAUUUUAUAUAUCAAAAGCUUCGACGAAAUAAAAAUUAAUUUUUAAGAAUUUUUAUUACUCAUAACAAUGAAUAUUGAUUAUUUUUUAUGACAAAAUGUAAAUUUUGUAAUAUGAUCCUUAUAAACAAUGAAAUGAUGGUUUUUCUUAUGAAAUGAUGUUUUCUAAAAUAUAAAUAUUGACAAAUACCUUUUUAUUUCAUUAAAGUGAUCUUUAAUUUAUAUAUUUUUUGAAAAAAGAGUACCGGUACACUCAAAAUUGUGAGUGUACCAUAGAAGUUCCCAAUAAGAAAAUAUUCCUUAAAAAAAAAAAAUAUUAACAAAUAUCAUUACGAAAAUGGUUUUACCAUCUAAACGUGUUUAACUGCGCAUUUUGUUGUCGAUUUGUGUUUUCACUUAUAUGUAAUUUUUAUAUAUAUACUUCCCUUCCAAAAAUUAUUCACAUGAAGAAGAAAACAAAAGAAGCAGCACUACAAAUACAGCAAAGACUUUGGAAUGCUGUCAAGUAAACAUGAUUUGCGUGUAAGGUCGUGAUCCACCAUGAAGACAAUGACAAUUUCAAAAAAGCAGAUUUACAAACUUUAUUAAAGUAUCUUUCUAAAUAAAUGUAUUAAACUUACAAACCAUAAGGAGAAAAAGGAAAGAAAGUGAAGAUAACGCUAAAGACUUUGAGAGUCUUUCAUAAAAAACAAAAUAAGGUGACUUGGAAAUUUCUUAGUCUUUUUUCUUAAUAAUCCUUUUUCUUUUUUUAUUAUGUUCAAGACAAAUGCUAAUUAUUAAUUAUCUUUUGACAAGAUGUUAGUAAUUAUUGUUAAAUUUAUAAUAAACCGUAGUCAAGAACCAUUUCUAAGAAAACGAAGAGAGUAAAGAUAACAUAGAAUUGUUUUGUGCGUGUCAUCUUUGCGCAAGGGGCCAUGCUAAUCUUGUCUGUAUCAUUUCAACUUUAUCAGAUGUCCCCAAUGGGACAAGAUAAUGAAAUCAUACACUUGAAAGUGAACAAUUUUACUACUCACAGAGCAAAUGAACGGACAUGAUGAAAAGAUUCCCAACUUUGUUUUUUCCUCACAACUUGUAACACUAUAGUACUAAUAUUCAUUGUUAAUAUCCACUACACAACUUGUUCUAAUCCUCACUCUCAUGUACAAUAAUUAUUGUUUUUUUAGAGGAGCCAGGUUUGAAAAGUAACACGAGAACCUUUCAAAGAUAAUAGUUAAAAACAAAUAAUUUAGUAUAUUCAUCAUCUUCCUAAAGCAAACUUUGAUUCAUAUCCUCACUGUCCAAACUUUGAUUCAUUUCUGUUCUCGUACCUGCAAAAUGGCUGAUGUUUUACUUGGAACUGUGAUUCAAAACCUCGGAUCUUUUGUUCGAGAGGAGCUUUCGACCUUUUUGGGUGUUGAAGAAUUGACACAAAAGCUAUGUGGAAAUCUCACCGCAAUUCGUGCUGUCCUCCAAGAUGCUGAAGAGAAGCAACUAACAAGCCGUGUUGUGAAAGAUUGGCUGCAGAAGCUGACUGAUGUUGCC